UACGAAGGGGGCUAGCGUUGUUCGGAUUUACUGGGCGUAAAGCGCACGUAGGCGGACUAUUAAGUCAGGGGUGAAAUCCCGGGGCUCAACCCCGGAACUGCCUUUGAUACAGCAAGUCUUGAGUUCGAGAGAGGUGGGAGGAAUUCCUAGUGUAGAGGUGAAAUUCGUAGAUAUUAGGAAGAACACCGGUGGCGAAGGCGGCCCACUGGCUCGAUACUGACGCUGAGGUGCGAAAGCGUGGGGAGCAAACAGG
rnacentral:rRNA from 1 species